GGAGAGGUGCUGGAGUGGUUGAACAGGUCGGUCUCGAAAACCGAUGUACUCGCAAGGGUACCGGGGGUUCGAAUCCCUCCCUCUCCG
rnacentral:tRNA from 1 species